GUUGGUUGCCAUCCGAAGAAGAAAAAGAAAAGAAGAGGAAGAAGGAAAAAACAACACGUUUCAGGAAUCUAACGCUCAGCAAUGAUGACUAAACUACCAAAUAUACUGUUAACAGGAACACCCGGAGUAGGGAAGACAACUUUGGGAAAGGAGUUGGCUGCACAGACAGGGUUGACAUAUGUCAACAUUGGUGAACUGGCACAUGAAGGUAAGACCCACAACAGAGAAAGAUGUCAUUGGUACAAAUAUUAUAGAGAGGGAGAGACUUUCAUCCUGAUGUUAAUCCCCCAAAUCAAAACUUUAUAAGCUGUUAUCUCAAAUUACUCUAUUUUGACCACUUUUGAAGUCAUUAUUUUACCUUAAAUAAUGCAUCUAUGUCUGUGUUUAUAUAGUCAACCAGUCAAUUUGCAGUUUGGUAUUCAUAUA